rnacentral:lncRNA from 1 species
UGAGCAUAGCUAUUGUUUCCUGAACAUUUCCUAAGUGCCACUCUAUAGCAAGGCACGUGAAAGAGGCCAAAGAUGCUGAACCAGACUGGGCAUAAACACCCGAAGGCCAGCCUGCAUUGACCUCCUGUGCCUAUUUAUCAGAGCGUCUAUUGUGUAGGAUGCAACAAGCUUAUAUGUAAAGCAUUUAGGGCAGUUUCUGGCUCCCAUUCAAUGACUUGUGCUAAGUACUGGAGAUUUAGUAAUGAGUCUUCAAAGAUGAUUCGAAGACAUUUAUAAAAGUUUAGCACGUAGCUUGGUGUGGUGGCAUACACCUGUAAUCCCAGCACUCAAGAGGCUGAGGCAAGAUCGCUGUGAGUUACAGGCAAGGGCAGCCUGAACUACAUAUUGAGACCCUAUCUCAAAAAAUAAAAAAAAUAAAGUUUAAAGGGAGGGGGGCUGAGGGAUGUAGCUCAGGGCAAAGGCCCUGGGUUCAAUCUUCAGAAGUGGGGCCUGGGGAAUGUAGGUCAGUGGCAGAGCCCUUGCCUGGCAUAUGCACACUGGCCCUAGUUUCCUGCCUCAGUCUCUCCCUUUCCCCCACAAAGCAUGCCUAGGUCCACCAAAAGGCUUGUACAUCAUGUACAUAGUAACUCGUUUUUCUUUUUUCUAGUGUUGGUAAAGAACCUAGGGCCUCUAAACCUGAACUCACCCAGCCCAGCAUGUAUUUCUAUUGGAUACAAAUUCAUAAUAGAAUUGCUGAGUUACAAAGAAUUACCAGGUCAGAAAGGGAUUGCUGCUUCCUUGCUUGGGAGCCAGAUGAGGUGGCCGGACUGCGUUCGGAUGCCAUGAUCACGGAGGAGGGCUCUAAAGCGCGGGGGCCUCACUUGAAGACGCACCAGAGCCACAGUGAAAGCCGAGAUGCGCAGAGGUCCAGCCCGGUCAAGGCAAGGACAGUUUGGUCUCCCCUGGCAGGGCACGGAAGGGGCGAUGGCCACGUUAAAAGUGCACACGACGAAACUCCGCAUCUCCUUUCACGCCCACGAUUAAUUUUUCCAAUUUUUACAGAUUUCUGCGUGAAAUGUAGAAAAGGUAAAUCACCCAAGAGUAGGAAGGAAAUGGCUUCCGACUAGAAGAUGGGAAACCCGGGCCCCGCCCCGCCCCGCCCCGCCCCAUCCCGCCCGUUACGUAACCACAGCGGUGGGGGGCUCCCUA